rnacentral:rRNA from 1 species
UACGUAGGAUGCAAGCGUUGUCCGGAAUUAUUGGGCGUAAAGAGCGCGCAGGCGGUCUAUCAAGUCAGAUGUGAAAUAUCCCGGCUUAACCGGGAGGGGUCAUUUGAAACUGGUAGACUAGAGUACAGCAGAGGAUAGCGGAAUUCCCGGUGUAGUGGUGAAAUGCGUAGAUAUCGGGAGGAACACCAGUGGCGAAGGCGGCUAUCUGGGCUGAAACUGACGCUGAGGCGCGAAGGCUAGGGGGAGCAAACAGG